rnacentral:rRNA from 1 species
GACGAACGCUGGCGGUGUGCUUAACACAUGCAAGUCGAACGGUAAGGCCCUUUCGGGGGUACACGAGUGGCGAACGGGUGAGUAACACGUGAGUAACCUGCCCUCAUCUCUGGGAUAACAGUCGGAAACGGUUGCUAAUACUGGAUAUGAGCUUGCAAGGCAUCUUGUGGGUUGGAAAGAUUUUUUUGGUUGGGGAUGGACUCGCGGCCUAUCAGCUUGUUGGUGAGGUAGUGGCUCACCAAGGCUUCGACGGGUAGCCGGCCUGAGAGGGCGACCGGCCACAUUGGGACUGAGAUACGGCCCAAACUCCUACGGGAGGCAGAAGUGGGGAAUAUUGCACAAUGGACGGAAGUCUGAUGCAGCAACGCCGCGUGCGGGAUGACGGCCUUCGGGUUGUAAACCGCUUUCAAUUGUGACGAAGCUUUUUGUGACGGUAGCAGUAGAAGAAGCACCGGCUAACUACGUG